CACGGGGGGAGCAAGCGUUGUUCGGAAUUACUGGGCGUAAAGGGCGUGUAGGCGGCCAGGUAGGUCUGCUGUGAAAACUCGAGGCUCAACCUCGAGACGUCGGCGGAAACCAUCUGGCUAGAGUCCGGAAGAGGAGAGUGGAAUUCCUGGUGUAGCGGUGAAAUGCGCAGAUAUCAGGAAGAACACCCGUGGCGAAGGCGGCUCUCUGGGACGGUACUGACGCUGAGACGCGAAAGCGUGGGGAGCGAACAGG
rnacentral:rRNA from 1 species